AUGGAAAACUGUCAAACUUGGAAUUUUUUUGCCCCGAAUGAAUCCUGCGUAUAAUUAUCGACAAGAAACUCGAACCCGUUCAAGAAAAUGUUCAUCAAGAGAUUCAAGACGUCGGCAAACAUGGCAAUGGAGCCGAAGAUUUCAACUGAACGCAGCUUAAACUACACCAAAAGAACUCUCCGCGCCACCAAUGCAACAGCAGCUGUCCCGACGAUUGCAGCCGCAACACCACAUCCAAUGGCGACAGCAAGCGAGGAGAUGGACUCCGCCGAAUCGGAACCAGUGAGGUCAUGGAUCUAAACACAAGGAGAAAGGAAAGUAUCUCUUCACUGUUUUACCUGAAACAACAAACCAAUUAAGUGCAAACUAGGAUAGCUGUGUGGCACACACGAGAAGGUUUGGCGGGAAACGAACACUUCUACUGCACAGCAAGGCGUCCUGGUUUUUGAGGUCAAGUUUGGCGGCUGUCAAAAGAAAGAAUAUUGAUUGGUUAGGAUUGAGAACGAGACUCGAUGGAAAAGACGGUGAUUGGAUGGUUUGAAAAUGAAACUAAAUGGAAAGGAUUUUGAUUGGCCAGCUUGAAAACGAGGCUCAAUGGAAAGGUGUCGAUUGGUUAGGCUCAAUGGAAAGAAGCUAGAUCGAAGUAUUUGGAAUUCUGAAGAUUUCGCAAUCUCUUUCAAGUGAUUUGCUUUGUGGUGCAACACGAAAAGCAACGCUAAACUCCUGUCCAAGUACGAGUAAGAUGAGGAACAAAGCGUGUCUACUGGCUUUGCUUGCCUUCAUUCUUUCCUGUGAUCACAGUCAACGAGAGAAACGUA